rnacentral:rRNA from 1 species
UACGGAGGGUGCAAGCGUUAUCCGGAUUUACUGGGUUUAAAGGGUGCGCAGGCGGAUAUGUAAGUCAGUGGUGAAAUCUCCGGGCUUAACCCGGAAACUGCCGUUGAUACUAUAUAUCUUGAAUGCUGUGGAGGUAAGCAGAAUAUGUCAUGUAGCGGUGAAAUGCUUAGAGAUGACAUAGAAUGCCUAUUGCGAAGGCAGCUUACUACGCAGAUAUUGACGCUCAUGCACGAAAGCGUGGGGAUCAAACAGG